rnacentral:lncRNA from 1 species
AAAGUUCUGUACCAACAAUGCAGCAGAACAAUAUCACGGGAUUGCAGCAAAAUUCCAUAUCUUCUUUAUCUGGGGUUUCAACAGCACGGCGAAAUAAGAUGAAUCCAUUGCAGCCAAGCUCCAAUAUGGAUCCAGGCCAGGGAACCUCACCAAAUUCACUGCAGCAGGUACCUGUGGGCUCUAUCCAACAAAUUCCUGUCGGUGCUCCCCAACAAGCUAACAUGAAUGCCUUAUCAUCACAGAAUGGGAUUAACAUGCUGCAGAACAACAUUAAUCCCCUUCAGUCAAAUCCUGGUAUUCUUCAUAGCCAACAUCUGAAACAGCAGGAACAGCAAUUGUAUCAGAAUCAACUGAUGCAACAAUAUCAACAACGAGUGAUGCAGCAGCAGUUGUUGCAGCAGCGUUUGAUGCAGCAGAAGUUGAUGCAGAAGCAGCAGAUAAUUCAACAACAACAGCAGCUACAACAGCAAGCCAAGCAGCAGCUUCCUGGACAGUUGCAGGCUCACCAAAUGCCACAGCUUCACCAAAUCAGUGAUGUUGAUGAUGUGAAAAUUAGACCGGGGAGUGUUAAGCCAGGGACUUUUUUGUCAGGGGAUGGCUUGCAGCAAAAUUCUGUGUCUUCUUUGUCAGGUGUUUCAACUGCACAACAGAACAUGAUGAAUCCAUUGCAGUCAAGUUCCAACGCUGAUCCAGGACAAGGAGUCUCACAUCAGUUAAAUGCCGGUUUCCUUCAUAACCGAUUUCUGCAGCAGCAACAGCAAUUGAGACUGAUGUUCCUCCAGAGUCAACAGCGACAGCUGCAGGAACAGUUGAUGCAGAAGAAUCAGAUUUUUCAACAAAGACAACAGCAAGAGAUACAGCACCUGCUUCGAAAGUUGGAGCCCGAGCUUCCCCAAGUCAAUGUUGUUAAUGACAUGAACACGAGUGCUUUGUUAUCAUCACAGAGUGAGAGUAACAUGCUGCAGGGAAGCAUUGAUUCCCUUAACUCAAGUUCUCGUAUGGGUGAUAAUAAACAGCAUCAGAAGCAAGAACAGGAGGAGAAAGUGUUUCAGAAUCAACUCAAGCAACCGUAUCAACAGCUACAGAUGCAGCAGCAAUGGACGCAGAAGCCGCAGAUGCUUCAAGAAAAGCAACAGCAGCAGAUACAGCAACUACAGCAACAAACAAAGCAGCAGUUGCAUCAUAUUUAUUUCAUCUAUCUCAUUUUUCUCGCCAUUUUGUUGGGCGCUUACCUUUUCGGGACAGGCUAUUGAUGUAAACAGCCAAGCAGGCAUUGUUCUCCUCUACCUACUAUCACCUGUUCUUUCUAAUUCUGUACCUCUAAACUUGUUGUGAUGUUCUCAGCGAGAACUUUGUUUAGCUGAACGCAAUUGUGAUGUUUUCUUUUGAGGACAAUUUAUGUGUUGGUUCAUUCAGUCAGCCUACAUGCCGUGAUGGUCAAUAUUUUGUUAAAUUUAUGCCUUGAGGAACCCUUCUGGCCCUUUUGUUACUUUGAUGGUCAAUAUGUUGUACGAUUUAAGCUAUUCUCAUGUUCAUCUUCUCAAUUUACAUGGUUAGUUAAAUCGAUUAAUUCAAUUUCUGUGAUCUGGUGAUAGACAUGAGAUGUAACCUGUUACAAAAAAAAAAAAAAACGACAUGAGAUGUAAUCCGCUUUGAGUAUCCCUUCUCCCACAUUUGUGGUAGGAGCUUUGUUAUCUCACAGUUACAUAUACGAACAGCUUCAUGGAGGAUCCUGCUACUCAACUGUCUAAAGGUUCAUUUCAAAGUGCAGCAAACAUUGUACAAGAAUAUCUAGCUGCAUCUGUUGAGGAACCUAUAGGAGAAUCCCCGAAGCAGACUUACGCUUCUAUAGUAUGUAAUGAACAUGGUCGCGGAGGUUACGGCAUCUUUCAAAUCCUUUCUGUAGUUAAAUACACGUUGCUAGCGGACAACCAGUACUAUCUGCAGCUCCUCAGCAUUCAAUUAACAAGAGUAGAGACAACAUAUGAAGCAGAGACAAAAAUCAUUGUAUCGUCCAAUGCACCAGGCAUUCAGAUUGUCAAGAGCUGACUUGCAUUGCUUUUCAAACAACAUUUGAAGGCACUUCCCUUGUCGUAACUGUAGAUUUCUUUGAAUCUGCAGAGGGGGAAGUCACAAAAAUGACACUGCAAAGUACCCAGAGAAACACAGGAAAGCUCAACUCAGUGAGAGAUCGAACUCAGGUCGUUGCGCGCCUUCUUAAGGGUCAAAGGUCAUUAUUACCCCCUACAUAUCCGACUUAUUCACAGAUAGGUUUUCCGGUCUUUUACGUGCAUAUCCUGCCAUUUCUGGCCAUACUAGCCGAUGGCCUGAAGGUUAAGAAUCAUCUAUGAACAAUGAAGUCUUGCUCAUACAUCAAUUGCUAGGUCACACAUUCAAUAAUAUCUUGAUCUAUCAAUGAUAUUUACCCUAUUUGAAGAACAUACUACUGUAACAAAUACCACAAGUGAUUAUUAGAAUAAACGACAUCCAACCGUAUAUUUUAAUUAGUGACACAAUAAAUACAUUUUUACCGUAUAGUUUUAAUUUUACAUAUCCUCUCAUGACUUACUUGUUUUUACUUUAUUUUUUUAUGGGUCAAUAUACCAAGACCGGGAGCCUUCAAUUCUUGACACGUAAAUACAUGAUAUUGUGUAAAUGAUUAAGAUCAAUAACUUUAAUACAGAUGCAUGGUUGUCCAAACAUAUGAAUGUCUAAGAUGGUAAGAUUGCAUUGUGUACUUGUACGCUGUGUAUACAACGUUUAUGUCAAUAUUGUUUAGUUGGCUGGUCAUAAAACACACUAAAAUAAUCAAGAGCUGUGAUUAGAAUUAAGCAGCAUUAAGCAGCAGUCUCCCCGCCCCCCCCCAAAAAAAAUUUCUUCUUCAAUCGUCGUUUGACGGUGGCUAUACGGUCACACAAACCCUAACUAUUUUGUUAGCACUGACUACUCUACACGUAAUCAGUUGUAAUAGAGUAGUCUUCCUUGACUAUUCUUUGGCCAUGAUCAUUGGGCAUAUUAUAUAUAUGAGCUCAUUACAUAAAAAGAAAAAAAUAAAAAUAAAUCUGUGACAAAAAACACACAUAAACUAAAUUUAUACCCACAUUCCUUAAAUUGAAUCCAAGAAUGAAUAACACAUGCAAAUUCUAAGUAACGUAGAGAUUAGUAAACGCCAAAAAAGCCUCUAAAGGUAAAUAUAUCAUAUAAGUACAAUUUUUGGAAAGUAAUAUGAAAUACUUCUUAUUGAGUAUAAACAAACUGUUAACAUGUGUAACGAUUUUAUAACGGUUUUAUCAUACAAAUUUUAACAAUCAUGUUAAUUUUAUGUCAUCGUGAAUAAGCUUACUGAUCCCCACAAAUAAAAUUUUCCUUCUCCAUAUCUUUUCUCCAAAAUCUCCACGCCUACUUCCAAUUUCAAUCUCACUUGGAUUAUAGUUUUGUCCUCAACUCUUGGAUAGCUCCGGUCACAGAACCCAACUCAACCCGACCCGAAUAUCCAAAAACAAACACCUGUAUAUAAAUACGAAAUAUUCUUCUCCUUCUUCUUCGUCUUCGUCUUCGUUUGUAGUCAGAGCUUUUGAAUUUUGAUUUCCAUGGCUUCCAAACCAAACCCCAACAUUGGUUUUCCGAUCAGUCAAUAUUAGAAACCCCAGUAUUUGGCUUACUUUCAAAAUUGGCUUGAUUCUACGAACAAUCCAAAACCCGUUCUCCUGAUUUGAGCUUAACCCCUCACACAAUUUCAAUCUGUUCCCAGUUUUGGGAAUUUCAAAGUUUCAAUCUUUAAAGGUAAAGGUAACUUUUUUAUGUGAAUUUCGUAUUGAAUUUUGAUGGGUUCGGUUUAUUUUUGAUUGUUCGAUUCAGGGUUUUGUGUAAAAUUUCAUGACCAUGGAUUUUGUUUUCUCCGAUUGUUGAGGAUUUGAGAGUUUUGUUUAGAGUUAGGGUUGUGUGUCAAUUGCAAAGGUUUGAUUUUUGCAUGCUUGGAAUAUAGGAAUUGCGUGUUUGAGUUAAUUUAGCUUAAUGGGUUUUGUAGAAUCAAUUCAAAUUUAGCAACUUCUUAUGGAAAUUUUGUGGCUUGAAGAGUUGAAGCUGGUGUUUUGAUCAUUUUUGUGUUUGAAUUUUGGGUUUAUACUGUUUUAGGUUUCGAUGGACACGAAUAAUUGGAGGCCUCCUCCGGGUGGGGAGCCUGCAAUGGAUGCAGGAGAUUGGAGGAGCCAGUUGCAGGCGGAUUCGCGGCAGAGAAUCGUUAAUAAGAUGUUAGUAUAUGCUGAAAUUUUGUGUGCAUCGGUGGUGUUCGUCUUAGAUUAGCUUUUUGUUGUAAUGUUUAAUGAUGGCUUUUUGAAUUUGUUGCAUGUGAAGAAUGGAUACAUUGAAGAGGCAUCUUCCUUUCUCCGGCCAAGAGGGACUGCAUGAACUCAAGAAAAUUGCUGUUAGGUUUGAGGAGAAGAUUUAUACUGCUGCUACGAGCCAGGUACAUUUGGUGUCCUAAUCAUCUAUCACACAUGUUAACAUGUGCAUGCGUGUGUAUCGUCAUGUAAUGAGUUAGAUAUAUAUUGUUUGUUUGUGUGAAGCUAGCAGUUUGAUCUAACUUCUGUCUCUUUUUGUAGUCGGAUUAUCUACGGAAAAUUUCUCUGAAGAUGCUCACUAUGGAGAGCAAGUCUCAGAACACCAUGGGUAAUUCUUUACCAAGCAACUCUGCGGGUAAUAGUAACAGGCCCCCUGAUCCAGGUAAAUUCAUGAUGCAAACCAUCAUCCUAUUACUGCAUUCUAGACCGGAAUUCUUUUGGUAUAAAUUUCUUGUAUUAUAUUUUCUUUCAAAUGAUGGAAUCCUGAAGCCUUCCCAAAAUAAGAAGGAUUGUAUCAUGUAAACUCUGUUGAACAAAAUCGUUUAUUCAUGUCAUUUACUUCGACUUUGCUUUUUCUUUUCUAUGCGAAGCAUAGUUUUAAAGCAUUACAACUUUACUUGAUUCUCUUUGGCGUUUUGUUGUUUUAACUAUUGAUAGCAUUUCUGUCCAAAAGGUAAAUAUUUUUAGCACCAAUUUCUUUUCUUUUGUUGUUUAUUUGUUGUACUUGGCUUGAGUAGGAUCUUUCGGUAUGCAAGCCCAAGCUCCGAAUCAAGGACAGUCACUCUCUAUGCCAGUGCAAGCCAAUCAAUCUCAAACACGACAACAACUGUUAUCACAGAACAUUCAGAAUAACAUUCCGCCCACUGGAGUUCAAAAUUCUGCUGGGUUAUCAUCUGCGCUACCUCCUGCAUCAGGUCUCACCCAGACUCCUAUCCCGAAUAUGGUUGGACAAAGUGCAAACUUGCAAAGUAUGUCGGGGACAUCACAGAAUUCAUUAGGGAACUCUAUGGGUCAAGGGGUAGCAUCAAAUAUGUUUGCUAAUUCCCAAAGGCCAAUGCCAGGAAGACAACAGGUAGUUCCCCAACAGCAACAGCAGCAACCCCAGAAUUCACAGCAGUUUAUGUACCAGCAACAGUUACAACAACAGCUAAUGAAGCCAAAUUUUAAGCCGGGAAACAUCCAACUUGUGCAAAAUCAUAUGCAACAGCAACAACAACAACAGCAGAACUUAUUGCAACCAUCUCAAUUACAAUCUUCUCAGCAAUCUGUUAUGCAACCUCCUGCAGUGCAGUCGUCUCUCUCUAGUCUUCAGCAGAAUCAACAAUCUGCUAUGCAACACUCUUCACAAUCCAUGCUUCAGCAGCAUCCUCAAUCUGUUCUCCGGCAGCAACAGCAGCAGCCUCAACAGUCUUCUGUUGUCCAUCAGCAGCAAACGCCAAUCCCACAGCAGCCACUAUUGCCCCCACAGCAGCAGCAACAACAGCAACAGCCACAGCUUAUGGUGCAACAGCCAAAUUCUACAAACUUGCCGCAGAAUCAGCUUAUUGGACAACAAAACAAUGUAGGGGACAUGCAGCAACAGCAACAGCAGAGGUUACUAAACCAGCAGAAUAAUAUGUUAAACUUGCAACAGCAACAGCAACAGCAACAGCAACAACAACAACAACAACAACACCAAUUAAUGGCUCAGCAAAACAACCUCUCAAAUAUGCAUCAGCAACAGUUGGGCCCUCAGAGUAAUGUUACUGGAUUACAGCAACAGCAGCAAACUGGUAACUCAAGCAUGCAAACUAAUCACCAUCCUGCACACAUGCUGCAAUCCAAGGUUCAGCAACAUCAGAGUUCAUCAUUGCCAACUCAAGGACAUCAGUCCCAACCUCAGGCAUCACAGCAACAAUUAUUAUCACAGAUUCAAUCUCAGCCUGCACAGAUGCAACAACAGAUGAGUAUGCAACAGCAAUCAAACCCGCUACAACGAGAUAUGCAACAAAGGAUCCAAGCAUCAGGUCAGGUAUCAGGAUCUAUGCUUCAACCACCAAAUGUAAUGGAACAGCAAAAGCAGUUAUAUCAGGCUCAAAGACCCCUUCCUGAGACGUCAUCAAGUAUGUUUUCUGCAAUUUUGCAUUUUCCUACUUCUGUUUUACUUCUUAUUUUGGCUAUUUUUAUCCUAUGAUCAAUGUUCUGCAGUAAUGCUUUUUUUAAUUUUAAGGUUAUGCAAAUAUUGAUGUCUAAGUAUGUAUAUUGUGUAGCGUCUCUAGAUUCCACAGCCCAGACUGCUGAUUGGCAAGAGGAGGCCUAUCAAAAGGUGAGGCAUUGGUUCAUUAGGAUGUUAGCUGCUGUAACAACCUGAAAUAAUAGAACUGAAGUAUGAACAUAGUAGACAACAGUAUGUAGCGGGUGGUACAUUAGGUUAACAAUAUUCAGAACAAAAUUAUGUCCACUUGUUUUAUAGUAUUUGAAAGGCAGCGGAGGCAUCGCCUUAGAUUUAGCCAUUUGGGUGGAGAUGGUUCUAACUUUGUAAUACAUCAACUAGGUAUAAAUGGGUAGAAAAUCAAUUUUCCUGGUGUCUCAGAAGAAAUUUGACAUUCACAUAUCUCAUAUGAUUAGAAGGGAACUUGUAGGAAGGUUUGGCAGUCUUUGUAGGGGUUGUCUUAAGUCUCCAUAGUUGAUGUCGGUAGUAAACUAGGAUAGAUGAAAACCAUCUUUAGAAAUCAGGAAAACUUCCUAUUAUUUCCAGAAGAAAAGAUUCCAAGAGUAGAGCAAACAAUGCAUUGCGGAUUUUCUUUGUAUUUCCUAAAUAAUUAACCAAAGAAACUUCUACAGUUCCUCAAAUGCAAAUACUUUUGAAGAUAUUUGACAAGUGAUAAUCUAAGAGAUCUUGUGAUCCAUAGAAUCUGCAAUCAUGUGGAUAAAACAAAUAUCUUUCCAAUUAUAGUAUUUUUUUUUUUUUUUUUUUUUGCAGAUCAAGGUCAUGAAGGAGAUGUACUACCCCGAACUUAGUGAAAUGUACCAAAAAAUUGCUGCUAAACUCCAUCAGGUAUGUUUUCCCAUUUUCUAUCGUGGUACUUCUUAUUCUUUAAGCAGCUGGUGAUAGUCUAUGAUAUCUUUUUCAUGUUAUUGUUUUUCUUUAUAAAUAACUGCAGCCAUGUAGCCUUCCUACAUGGCAUUAUUAUCAACAUGGUAAUAUUAGUGGCUACAAGGUCUUUGGCUUACCACUCUUCUUUCUGUUUGCUAGCAUGACUCUCUUCCACAACAGCCAAAGUCAGAGCAGCUUGAGAAGCUGAAAAUGUUUAAGGCCAUGCUGGAGCGCCUCAUAACAGUCUUACAAAUUUCCAAAAGUAACAUAUCACCUGGAAUGAAGGACAAGUUGGGUGUAUACGAGAAGCAGAUAGUAAAUUUCAUCAAUACAAAUAGACCCAGGAAGCCUGUUUCUACUCUGCAGCCUGGGCAGCUCCCUCCACCGCAUAUGCAGUCCAUGCAGCAGUCACAAUCCCAAAUUACUCAAGUGCAAUCUCAUGAAAAUCAAAUGAACCCACAAUUGCAAUCCAUGAACUUGCAAGGUUCUGUGCCAACAAUGCAGCAGAACAAUAUGACGGGAUUGCAGCAAAAUUCUAUGUCUUCUUUAUCCGGGGUUUCAACAGCACAGCAGAACAUGAUGAAUCCAUUGCAGCCAAGUUCCAAUAUGGAUCCAGGCCAGGGAACCUCACUGAACUCACUGCAGCAGGUCCCUGUGGGCUCUAUCCAACAAACUCCUGUCAGUGCUCCCCAACAAGCUAACAUGAAUGCUUUAUCAUCACAGAAUGGGGUUAACAUGCUGCAGAACAACAUUAAUCCCCUUCAGUCAAAUC